rnacentral:rRNA from 1 species
UGCAUGAAGUUGGAAUCGCUAGUAAUCGCGGAUCAGCAUGCCGCGGUGAAUACGUUCCCGGGCCUUGUACACACCGCCCGUCACACCAUGAGAGUCGGGAACACCCGAAGUCCGUAGCCUAACCGCAAGGGGGCGCGGCCGAAGGUGGGUUCGAUAAUUGGGGUGAAGUCGUAACAAGGUAAC